UAGAGAUAGAUAUAGCUACAUAUAUGUAAUAGAAUAUGAAGGACACUGUCCCUCUUUGUAAGCACAUAGACAUUUAUAUAUAGGACUAGUUGCUUAUAUACUUGGGAAGUCGGAAGCAUUCCAGACUAGGGUUUCGUAUGCUGCAACAACUACAAGUUCUCUGUGUGCAUAAGGUGUUUAAGAGGGUUAGUGAAUCUGAAGAAGAGAGCACGAAUUGGAGCCUUUGGGGCUGGUGAUUGGCUGUAGCCAAUUUACGAAGUUCAGCUUGUGCAAGAAGAAUCCCUAUAGAUGUAAAAGACCAGCUAGCUUGUUUGGUUUAUACAGUGUUGGUUUUGAAUAUAUAUAGUUUCCUUACAUGGGAACUUCUUGUAAUUGGAUGUAAGCUUGUUGAGCCAAUUAAGUUACUAUGAGUCUUAUGCAAAUUAGAAAUUUUUCUCAACAA